CCGUAGGGUGAACCUGCGGAAGGAUCAUUACUGUGAUUUACUACUACACUGCGUGAGCGGAACGAAAACAACAACACCUAAAAUGUGGAAUAUAGCAUAUAGUCGACAAGAGAAAUCUACGAAAAAACAAACAAAACUUUCAACAACGGAUCUCUUGGUUCUCGCAUCGAUGAAGAGCGCAGCGAAAUGCGAUACCUAGUGUGAAUUGCAGCCAUCGUGAAUCAUCGAGUUCUUGAACGCACAUUGCGCCCCUCGGCAUUCCGGGGGGCAUGCCUGUUUGAGCGUCGUUUCCAUCUUGCGCGUGCGCAGAGUUGGGGGAGCGGAGCGGACGACGUGUAAAGAGCGUCGGAGCUGCGACUCGCCUGAAAGGGAGCGAAGCUGGCCGAGCGAACUAGACUUUUUUUCAGGGACGCUUGGCGGCCGAGAGCGAGUGUUGCGAGACAACAAAAAGCUCGACCUCAAAUCAGGUAGGAAUACCCGCUGAACUUAAGCAUAUCAAUAAGCGGA
rnacentral:rRNA from 1 species